UUUACAAUGGAGAGUUUGAUCCUGGCUCAGGAUGAACGCUAGCGGCAGGCCUAAUACAUGCAAGUCGAACGGUGGUAGCAAUACCAUAGUGGCGCACGGGUGCGUAACGCGUAGGCAAUCUGCCUA
rnacentral:rRNA from 1 species